rnacentral:rRNA from 1 species
UUUGGUGACAAUAGCAGUGGAGAUACGCCUGUUCCCAUGCCGAACACAGAAGCUAAGUCCAUUCGCGCCGGAAGUAGUUAGGGGUUGCCCCUUGUGAGAUAAGGUCGUUGCCAAGU